rnacentral:rRNA from 1 species
AUGGCAGCUGUGAUGAAGUUGAAGGUGGAGUAUAAGAACAAGGCGCAGAUAGUUCACUUAUUUGGAUGCCAUCUAUUCUUCCAGGUUUUCUUGCUGGACAACAUUGAUCUGGGGAUUUUCAACAUGGUGCAUACUGUAUUCCCUCGUAUUCAGUGUUUUGAUCAGAAAAGACUUAGGGAAAUGAUAGUGAUGGCGCGUUGUGAUCAGCGUGGUGUCGUAACUUAUGUCCCUGGAGCGGUGCGUCCUACAGAUUCGGUGUGUUAUACGCGUGUAGUUCUGGGGAGCCCACCAUGUGGAGUUGCUACAUCAAUUCCAUCAUCAUCGAAGCGACCAGUUGUUGGGUCCUUCGAGACACCAAAACGUGAAGCAAUGGUGGGCGGUGUAAGCGCCAACAAAAGCCCAGCAACUUCCCUGGGUGAUCCUAUGGAGAAUCGGUUUGUUGGUCUGAGUGAUUUCAGCAAGCAUCUUCGUCAGAUUUGCAAAGAUGAUUCGGUCUUGGAGGAGUUGAGCCUUAUGCUGAAACAACACAAUGUGAAGUGUACACUGAGUACGACAUUGCUGCGUAACCAAUUGCAGUCUAAUAUGUUUUGCUUUGCUGAGAAAAUGGUUGCAUUUGUGAAGGACCAAUGUAGAUGCUGUGCAAAAAAAGGGUUGUCCAAGUGUAUUACAAUUUGUGAAACUGAGCAGGUGGCGAUCGUCGGAGAGGAGUGA